CUGUAGUCCAGGAGUGGUGCCUUCUAAAAACUCAUGUGCUCGCGGCUGGGUGGUCGGUACCGACAAGAAUACUGUACUUUAUGUGGUGAGCAGUGCUGGACGGAGGACCAAGUAUGAUGGAAGUGGACCCGUGGAGCUGGGCAGCUUCCUAGAGGACUCAUGUGUCCCAGGGUGAAGCCUGAAGUCCUACUGCCCGUGUGGCUGGAUGUGAGGGCAGAAUAGGAAGCCCAGUGAUGCCACCUGAACCACAGCCCCCGAAGCGCGUGGGGCUUUGUACCCGAGGAAAUACAGCAGGUG